rnacentral:rRNA from 1 species
ACGCUCGACACCUACGGAAGGCAGCAGUGGGGAAUAUUGCACAAUGGAGGAAACUCUGAUGCAGCGACGCCGCGUGAGGGAAGAAGGUCUUCGGAUUGUAAACCUCUGUUGUCAGGGACGAUGAUGACGGUACCUGACGAGGAAGCCACGGCUAACUACGUGCCAGUAGCCGCGGUAAUCUGAGCGGGCUGGCAAGGC